rnacentral:rRNA from 1 species
GAUGAACGCUGGCGGCGUGCUUAACACAUGCAAGUCGAGCGAAGCGCUUAAGUUUGAUUCUUCGGAUGAAGACUUUUGUGACUGAGCGGCGGACGGGUGAGUAACGCGUGGGUAACCUGCCUCAUACAGGGGGAUAACAGUUAGAAAUGACUGCUAAUACCGCAUAAGACCACGGUACCGCAUGGUACAGUGGUAAAAACUCCGGUGGUAUGAGAUGGACCCGCGUCUGAUUAGGUAGUUGGUGGGGUAACGGCCUACCAAGCCGACGAUCAGUAGCCGACCUGAGAGGGUGACCGGCCACAUUGGGACUGAGACACGGCCCAGACUCCUACGGGAGGCAGCAGUGGGGAAUAUUGCACAAUGGAGGAAACUCUGAUGCAGCGACGCCGCGUGAAGGAUGAAGUAUUUCGGUAUGUAAACUUCUAUCAGCAGGGAAGAAAA